AAUCCUUCGGGAGGAAGCAGUGAAAGGAAAGCGGCGGACGGGUGAGUAACGCGUGAGUAACCUGCCUUCAGGAGGGGGAUAACAUUCCGAAAGGGAUGCUAAUACCGCAUGACAUUGUUUUUCUGCAUGGAAGAACAAUCAAAGAUUUAUCGCCUGAAGAUGGACUCGCGUCUGAUUAGAUAGUUGGUGGGGUAAAGGCCUACCAAGUCGACGAUCAGUAGCCGAACUGAGAGGUUGAUCGGCCACAUUGGGACUGAGACACGGCCCAGACUCC
rnacentral:rRNA from 1 species